rnacentral:lncRNA from 1 species
ACAUCGUCUAUGCUUCAUUCGGGGGGCCAGUGACUUGAUCACUGUUUGACAUGUUGUUUUCUACGUCACCAAGUGAAUAAUAGACCUGUGCCAACAGGGCCCAGCAUGAUCCGAUCCUCAUGGCGUUUUCCUUUCUCCUAUUGCAGGCAAAGGAGAGAUAUGAAGAUUACCUCUGCUGGGUUAAGAUGGCACGGUCUCGGCUCAAUGAACCCAUCAGCAGCCAGGUUCUAGGACUUCUCCGGCUUUAGUGUUCCAAGUAGCUGGGAUUACAGACGCCUGCCAUCACGCCCAGCUCAAAUCAUUUUAUGAAUGCAUAUUUCCAUCUGGGUGAAAAAAAAAUCACAAGCCUCUCUCUCUUCCUACUGAGCACCUGUGAACAGUGACCUGCAGUUUGUGGCUGCAGCCAGUCCUCUUGCAGCCUGGUGUUCUUACAUUUCAUUCUGAGGCUCACAUUCUCAGUCACCAUGCAGAAGAACACCCGCCCCAUCCUGGGUCAUUACAGAGUGGGUCAAUCCAUCUGCUGCAUCUGAAGAGCUGGGUCCAGCUUCUACAGUGAAUCCAUAUAUUUCUGUAUUUCCUGGAUAAGGAAGAGCAAAGGAGCUGAGCUG